rnacentral:lncRNA from 13 species
AUGACGUUUUACCCAACCCCUCCAGGCAGUAAAACGGAAAGACUCGGAAUUUGCCUCUGCGCCAUCUUUUGGCUGUUACCUGUGAUAUCCUUGGUUUCAGGUUCAUGUGAAGAACAUGCAGGAUUGUUGCAUAGGAAGCAGAAUCUUAAACUUUCUGAGGAGAGCAUUUGGGCUUCAGAUUUCUAACAGUUUCACAGAUUUUCAUGCCUGUUUAUAUUACCAUCUGAACUCUAGAAUCAAGAUAUGUAUUUCUCCAGAAGACGAAGCAACUUGUUGGUAUUUUAAAAUUGGGAUCAUAUUAUAUGUAGAGUUUGACUUAAAAAUAAUUGUUACCUUUAUGAUUAGUGUUUCUAUCCAAGAAUGCGUAUCUUUGGCCACAAUUUUUAUCUUUCAAUUAUUGUAA